UCGAGGAUCUUCGGCAAUGGGCGCAAGCCUGACCGAGCGACGCCGCGUGGGCGAUGAAGGCCUUCGGGUUGUAAAGCCCUGUCGAGGGGGAGAAAAGAGCAAUCUUGAUCUAUCCCUGGAGGAAGCACGGGCUAAGUUCGUGCCAGCAGCCGCGGUAAGACGAACCGUGCGAACGUUAUUCGGAAUCACUGGGCUUAAAGGGUGCGUAGGCGGGUUGCCAAGUCUGUGGUGAAAUCCUCCGGCUUAACCGGAGAACUGCCGUGGAUACUGGCGACCUCGAGGGGGGUAGGGGCUUGCGGAACUGUGCGUGGAGCGGUGAAAUGCGUUGAUAUGCACAGGAACUCCGGUGGCGAAGGCGGCGAGCUGGACCCUAUCUGACGCUGAGGCACGAAAGCCAGGGGAGCGAACGGGAUUAGAUACCCCGGUAGUCC
rnacentral:rRNA from 1 species